rnacentral:rRNA from 1 species
AGCGGCAGACGGGUGAGUAACGCGUGGGAACGUGCCCUUUGGUUCGGAAUAGCCCCGGGAAACUGGGAGUAAUACCGAAUAAGCCCUACGGGGGAAAGAUUUAUCGCCAAAGGAUCGGCCCGCGUUAGAUUAGCUAGUUGGUGGGGUAAUGGCCCACCAAGGCGACGAUCUAUAGCUGGUCUGAGAGGAUGAUCAGCCACACUGGGACUGAGACACGGCCCAGACUCCUACGGGAGGCAGCAGUGGGGAAUCUUGGACAAUGGGCGAAAGCCUGAUCCAGCCAUUCCGCGUGGAUGAUGAAGGCCUUAGGGUUGUAAAAUCCUUUCAGCGGGGAAGAUAAUGACUGUACCCGCAGAAGAAGCCCCGGCUAACUCCGUGCCAGCAGCCGCGGUAAUACGGAGGGGGCUAGCGUUGUUCGGAAUUACUGGGCGUAAAGCGCGCGUAGGCGGAUCAGCCAGUCAGAGGUGAAAGCCCAGGGCUCAACCCUGGAACUGCCUUUGAUACUGUUGAUCUGGAGUCCGGGAGAGGUGUGUGGAAUUCCGAGUGUAGAGGUGAAAUUCGUAGAUAUUCGGAGGAACACCAGAGGCGAAGGCGACACAC